GGAGUAACCUAGGGGGUGCCGUGGAGACAAAUUACAUUUUAAUGCUAUUGCACUCUUUGGAGGUUCACAAAAAUCAGCCUUAAAAAGUUCUGAAUGAAAAGCUCUGAUGGGCGGAGUCAACACAUGGGAGAGACCGUCUGGUUCCCAUGCAGCUGCAGGCACAGACAUCCAUGAAAGCACUUGUCUUAUUGAGUGAACACACUGGAUCUCCCAUGAAGCUCUUAAUACCGUCCUUACCUGGGCUGCCAGUUUCGUCCAUGUCCAGGUAGAAGACUUGCAGAUAUGCCACUUCAAAAAUGGAGCUUCCAAUCACCUCUGAAAUGGAAUUAUAGAGCACUUCACACCUCAGUGGCAUUUACUUUCAGCAAAAUGCUGCAAAGGGAGAAAGGGUUAGACAACUGGAAAAUGAUACAAACUCGACAUGCAGAGAAAAAGGAAAAUCAACAUCAGGUUUUGUCUCCCCUUGCUUUGAACUGUUUCAAUUUUUUUGUUCUUAAUUUUUUCUUUCUUAUAUG